rnacentral:tRNA from 1 species
GGCCCCAUCGUCUAGUGGUUAGGACAACACGCUUUCAAUGUGUAAACAGGGGUCCGAUUCCCCUUGGGGCUACAA